UUUUAGGUGCGGAAGUUCCCGUCAUAGAGCUUGCCAACUGCAUUUGUGCUGGCCAAAUGGGUGAAUAGUAUAUCCCAAGCCAAUUGGACCCACAAAUGAGAUGGUUCAAGAAUUCGCUCGCUUUUUGGGAACAGUGUUAAAAAAUCCUUAAGCAGAAUGAUGAACAAGAAUUAUCUUCUGAGACACACUUGUUAAAUCAAGUACAUCAAGGAGAAGAAAAUGUAUCACAAGAAGAACAAUUGCAGUAGCACGAAUGACAAUUUUUGGGCGUUGGAUCUCGCUUAAAAGUGGAGCAUGGUUUUGGAAUUAAUUAGGCAACUAGCUAGUAAUCUUAUUUAAUGGACAUAUAUUUACGCUAGAAGUAGAUAUAUUUUGGUGCAUAUAUAUUAGGUUGGAAGUAAAUAUAUUAGGUGAUGAAACUUUUCUUGGGAUUUGAUAUAUAUGCGAUAGUACUAUAUUAAGUACUUGGUGUUGGAAAUUGUCGAACGAUUGGAUGACCUUGAAUAUAUAUAUGGGUCUUUUUGGAAAUCUAAAUUUUUAUCAUUGUGUU